AGUGGUGAAUGGGCCUAGAACUGGUGUGGCUGCCUCACUUCUAACCUGGGGAAGAGCCUGCUCUAGGCAGGACAGAGAAGUGGAAAGAACUCGGCUCUCUGAAGACACUAAUAAGCUUCUAAAUUGUUGGUUCUAAACCUUGACUACACAUUUGAAUAACUGGAGAAGCUUUUAACAAUUACUGAGGGCCAGUCCCCACCUCAGAGAUUGAUUCAGUUCUUCUGUGACUGGUAUUUUCUAAGUUCUCCAGGUGAAUUUAAGGUGCAGCCAGGCAAGAGAAGUCCUUUGGACUUAUCUGAGUUAAUAACUUACUAGUUGAAUCACUUUCAGCCAGAAUCUGUUCUGUUCAGCUUAAAAUAAAAAAAGUUCUAAAAAUGACACUCUCUUUGGAAUGAAAUGCAAGGCCUGGCAUUUAAACAGUCUUUAAAUUUAAUUAGUUUAUCUCAGAAAUUUAAACCUAUACUCCUGGCAAAAGAAUUAGGUCUGCUUGUUUAUUUGAGAAAAAGAUCAUGUUCUUAUCCAACCUUCAAACCUGGUUCUGAAGGGCUUCAACAAAGGAAUUUGGUCAUGGAGAUUGAGGGUAGGUGACUGACUACAGACAGUGAGAAGAAAACUAACACCUUAUAGAUCGUUGGCAGUAAGUAGAUAAUAGUUUCACCACUGUUCAGCUGGUUUAUAUUACACUUUGUCUAUAGAUGAAUUUAAGAUUUCUAUAAACGUUAGCAUUAGUACACAAUGGUACCUUGCUGGUUUCAUUCUUAUUUUCUCCAACUUCAUUUUCAAAAGUAUUGUUUUUGAUAUUUUAUGGAACAUAUAUCUACAUCAUGAUGAACGAGUAAGAGGUGCAUGUGGAAUACACAAAUAUGCUUCGAACAAAAGACUGCCUAGGAUUUUGACUGGGAACAUCCUGAAGGCAACUUGAGAUAAUCCCAACUACUUUACACUCUGCCAGAGGAUGCGGAGCAAAAGACCUACAGCAGACACUGCUGACUGCCUACUCAACACCCACCACCACUCCUCAGUCCUAGGAAGCUGCUGGAUAUUCGUAAGGGAGAACAGUGGUUGCAUUGGAUGAGAAAGUCCUCAAAGGGAAACAUUUUGCCGAUGUGGAAGAGAUGAAACAAAAAAUGGCAGAAGCACUAAAAAGGAUCAAAAUGGACAAGUUGCACAACUGUUUUGAGCCAUGGAAAAAAGGUCUCUGUAGCUGUUAUUGCAUCAAGUGGAGAGCACUUCGAAGGUGACUGAAGUUUCAACAUGGUUUAUCUUUAACCACAUGAACUAUCCCUGGAGUGGAAUUUGAGAGGGAGCAGAGCUGACUGCCUGCAUUAAACUGCCAUCUCAAAAUGAAAGUUCCAUUCUGCUCUUCCACAAAGCAGAGGAUCCCGGUUCCUACCCGCUGAAAAGGACCCCAAGAGAGGAGGUAGUGAACCCUUCCCUUCAGAGAGCAAAGUAUGCUGUAUGCUUGGCAGAUGAAGUGGCUCAAGCACCAUGAAGCUGAGCGUCUGACCCAGUGCCAUGAGAUACCGUGUUGUUACCUAUUCUAAGUAGCAUAAAUGAUUGUCCCUCAAAAGUUCAAAUUUUUCCCCCUAAUUUAGGACUAUGUCAGCAACAGCUAGGUCCUUUCUUGUAAGACCUUAAAUUUCUGCCUUCUUCCAAUGGACAGAUGAAUUCUUUAUUUUAUUUUAUUUAUUUUUAGAGAGAGAGAGGAAGGGAAGGAGAAAGAGUGGGAAAGAAACAUCAGUAUGUGGCUGCCUCUCUUGCGUCCCCCACGGGGGACCUGGCCUGCAACCCAGGCAUGUGCCCUGACUGGGAAUCAAACCAGCAACCCUUUGCUUCACAGGCCCGCGCCCAAUCUACUGAGCCACACCAGCCAGGGCUGCACAGAUGAAUUCUUCAUAGUAGAACAUUGUGUUACACCAGCUAUAAAGUGUGGCUAAAUGUUUUAUUUAUUGUGAUUUGGCUUAAAAAAUUUCAGA